GACGAACGCUGGCGGCGUGCUUAACACAUGCAAGUCGAACGCUGAAGCUCAGCUUUUGUUGGGUGGAUGAGUGGCGAACGGGUGAGUAACACGUGAGUAACCUGCCCCCUUCUUUGGGAUAACGCCCGGAAACGGGUGCUAAUACUGGAUAUUCACUGGUCUUCGCAUGGGGGUUGGUGGAAAGGGUUUUUCUGGUGGGGGAUGGGCUCGCGGCCUAUCAGCUUGUUGGUGGGGUGAUGGCCUACCAAGGCUUUGACGGGUAGCCGGCCUGAGAGGGUGACCGGUCACAUUGGGACUGAGAUACGGACCAGACUCCUACGGGAGGCAGCAGUGGGGAAUAUUGCACAAUGGGCGCAAGCCUGAUGCAGCGACGCCGCGUGAGGGAUGGAGGCCUUCGGGUUGUGAACCUCUUUCGCUCAUGGUCAAGCCGCAACAAUGGUUGUGGUGAGGGUAGUGGGUAAAGAAGCGCCGGCUAACUACGUG
rnacentral:rRNA from 1 species